UGUCUAUCAUAUAGUACAAAGUUUCGAAGCCUGUUUUUUCCUCCUAUAUAUUCACCCCAUCCUUCAUUGUUCCCUUUUAUUCUUUUUUAAAAGGUCUGAAGUGGUUCGACAUGACAAAUAUAUGUCACAAAAAUAUGUUAAAAAAUAGUUGAGGAGGGUCAUAUCCCGCAAAGUUGAGGCGUGUUACAGCAAAUUUCACAAAAAUUUAGCAAUUGCCAAACGAUGCAGUAAUUUGAUUGAAUCAAAUUCAAUUGUUGAUUCACCUGUCAGUUGAAAUACAACCAUUACUACUGUUUAAGAAAUGAGAAGCAUACCAGUCCUUGUGAAGCACUCUGACCGAUGGACGUACGAAAAGAACUUUGAAGAAUAUGUCACUGAUGCUAUACUGUUGAGCACAUCAGCAACAUUCGUUGAGCUGGACGAUGUUUUGGCAUCUCACUUAAGUGUGGAUUUAACCAGAAAAUAUAUUUUAGUGGAAUAUCAAAUCACUGCUAAUGCGGGGCAGAUAGAAAUCCAUAACGAUAUGGGUUUGAAGGUGUUUAUAUUGCAGAAAAAACUGAUACAAGACAUGGGUUGUCUUCCUUUACAUGUAAGCAUUUUGGAUAAAGUUGUAGGGAGCAACUUGGCAAGUUUAUCUAUAUGUGUUGCUGAAAGAGAUAUCAACUGUAACAACUUGCAAACAGUGAUAAAUACAACAAAUGAAGGAGUUUUGGUGGUUUGUGAAAAUACACAAGCAUUAGAUUUUUUUGAGAUGGAUACUGUUGAGGUUAUUAUCUCAGACCCACAUCACAAGCAUGUUGAGGACGGUCAGGUUUACUUGACAAAAAAAAAAAAAUUAAAGUCAGUCAUGAAGGACUAUGCAAUUAGGGAAAAGUUUCAAACGCGCAGUAAAAGGUCUAGUAA